UUUUUGCUUAGAGGGCAUAUGAUUUAUUUAAGUAAUUGAUCAACAUGCUGUUUGGCUAAGUUGCUAGAAAACACAUAGGAUGGGAGACACAAUUCAAGCAUGUCUGAAGCUUACAAGUACAGUAUCACAUCCCUUUUCAGUAUAUGUAUCCUUCAUCAAGCAUUAAAAAACUUAAUAUAGCCACCGUUAUCAAUGCAGGAAAAAUUGUUUAGAGAAAACAUCUCUAUUUUUUCAGUGUUAAAGAUUUUCCAGUGUUAGUUAGCUACAAAUCUGGCCUGACAAGGCUGCACAAAACAAAGGGGGAAAUGUGUAAACAGGUCAAAUGUAUAUGCGAUAAUCUGCUGAGGGAUGAGCAUUGUCAGGGACAUCAGGAAAAGUCUCAUGCGGAAGGUGGCACCUUGGAUGAGUUCAAGUUCUAAAAGGAGGAAGUACAUUUCAGGAGAUCCAUUUAUAAGUGCUAGGACACCUUUAAGUAUGGCUAUAAAGUAAAAACAGCAUCUUUAAAUCACUGUAACAUUUGUUCUGAGUUUGAGUUUUACUAUUUGACAACAAUGUAAGCAUUAUUUCACUUCUAUUUCUAUAACCAGUUCUUAGUUAGAACAGUUUUAAAUUUGGGAGGCACAUGCUAAUUAAGAAGGAAAAAAGUAUACACCAAGAAAACAAACCUUCAGUUUUACUUUAUUUUUACUUGUCAUAACUUAAAAAAGUAAAAAUGGAACAAGAGUAUAGAUAUAAAAUUAUAGUUAAUGAGUUCACCACCUAUAUUUCAAAGGAUUUCAACUUUUUGUGAGUUUAACAAAAACAUUAACAUUUGCAAUUAUUGGUGAAACAUAAAAUUCACAAUUAUGAUCUUCAUCCUGAUGACCUUUUAUGAUAUUGAAAGCAUCUUAAAAUAUACCUAAAACACUGAUGUAUCCAGUUCAAAGCCAAGAUUCAUUUUUUCUAAGACAAACAACUGUUUUGUUACUAGCAAAAUGUCACUUUAUUGUCAUUUUAACUAGAAUCUCUCUGAAUUCUCUAUAUGAUGAAACAGAAUAAUUUUCAAAAACUAAGCUAUUUUAUUACUACAGAUUUAUACCAAGCAUUCUGUCUUAACCUGAGUGCAUCAUAUUGAUGGUGGAUAUUCAUCACAACCCCAAAGAACUAUUCCUAGCAGCCCCAAACAUGGUAGUUAACAGAAGAAUUCAUGAAUUGACUUAAUAGCUUUUUUAGGCAAGGCAGUCACCACACAGGAUCUUCCCAGCAACUCCUAUAAAACCUGUGUGAGAUCUAAACUUCCCAAUAGGAAAGUCAAGCUUUGGGAACUUUUGUGUGAAUGAAAAAAAUUUUCAUUUUUAGGACACGUGACAUACUUCUUUCACUAAGGGGGAAAAUGCAUACAAAUGCCCAGCUAUCUACACUUUGGGAAAUGUGCUCAUUAGAAAAGCACAACAUGAGGCACUUAAAUUUGCCUUGAUAGGGUUAUUAGAAGUUAUCUCUUAAAAGAAUGGAAGGAUAAAGCUAUUCUUUUACUUUUCCUUGGAAGAACAAGCUAAAUCUAGAGGCCACUUGAAUCAUCUCUCAAUCCAACAGCUCUCAUCUCACUCACCGGAGUUUUGGAAUCUACACUACAGAUAGAUUUCCCUCAUAAUUAAGUGCUCCAGAUACUUUACUAAGUAAACUUCCUUGGAGAAGGGUCAAAGGCAGAAUUCCCUUAUAUAGAACUCCAUUUGAGGGUAAACACUAUUAGAGGUGAAGUUCUAGUACAGUGACUGCUACCAUCCCAAAUGUGAUUCCUUUCU
rnacentral:lncRNA from 1 species